rnacentral:rRNA from 1 species
UACGGAGGGGGCUAGCGUUAUUCGGAAUUACUGGGCGUAAAGCGCACGUAGGCGGAUCAGAAAGUUGGAGGUGAAAUCCCAGGGCUCAACCUUGGAACUGCCUUCAAAACUCCUGGUCUUGAGUUCGAGAGAGGUAAGUGGAAUUCCGAGUGUAGAGGUGAAAUUCGUAGAUAUUCGGAGGAACACCAGUGGCGAAGGCGGCUUACUGGCUCGAUACUGACGCUGAGGUGCGAAAGCGUGGGGAGCAAACAGG